UUGCAAGAAGCCGAGUUAAUACAGAUGGUGCAAGCGUUAAUCGGAAGUACUGGGCGUAAAGCGCGCGUAGGUGGUUCGUUAAGUUGGAUGUGAAAUCCCCGGGCUCAACCUGGGAACUGCAUUCAAAACUGACGAGCUAGAGUAUGGUAGAGGGUGGUGGAAUUUCCUGUGUAGCGGUGAAAUGCGUAGAUAUAGGAAGGAACACCAGUGGCGAAGGCGACCACCUGGACUGAUACUGACACUGAGGUGC
rnacentral:rRNA from 1 species